CACGCUACACGUUGGUCACUGCACUAUCACAGCAUCGUGUGUUGAAAGGCAAUGAAAAUAAAAAAAAUUGAAAUGAUUAGAUGUGAAUCCCCGCGAACGCAUAAAUAUGGAAAAGUGAAUAAAACGAUUUGACUACUCUUACGAAAUUUAUUUGGGAGAUUUACCUGAAAUAAAGUUAAUAAAGCAGCCGUUUUCAUCGGACGAGGUGGCCGAGUGGUUAAGGCGUUGGACUGCUAAUCCAAUGUGCUCUGCACGCGUGGGUUCGAAUCCCAUCCUCGUCGAUUUCGCUUUUUGUUACUUUGCAAAAAUUUCUAAUUUAUAAACUAUGUGUGUUCGUAGAGAAAGUUGAUAAAAAAAUUGAUGGCUCUUUAAUAUUGAAGACACAAGAGUCAUUGAACUUAAAAACACAUGUAUCCUUAAGAAAAACAAACAAGAAGCAAUAGUUUGGAUGCAAAAUAUGUGAAAAAUUUUAAUAUCGACGAAACGAUAAUAUGAAAUUUAUUUAUUUAGUUUUUAAAUAUUACUUCUUUGAAUAGAGUUAUGAUCGUUGAUGAUUUCUUGAUGUUGCACAAUCAAUUAUAUCAAUCAAAAAAAUCAGAAGAAAUAUAGCAGAAUAGACAAAAGAAGAUGAGAAAAUUUACCAAUAAGUAAUUAAUAAAUUGACAAGCAAUUAAUAUGAUUCCCCUUAAGUAAAAUCAUUAUUCAUUAGAUAUUUAGUUGAGUGCAAUAUCAUGAGAAACAAUGGAAUCCAAUAGAUUUUUCUCAGUGUAAUAACGUAUUCAUGUAUUAGAACAAUUAAUGUAUCAUAUAUUAAAAUAGUUAAUUUUAUAUUACGCGAACAACAAUUUAUUUGUUUAAUGAACCAUAAUAACGAUAUUUCAGAGAAACAUAUUAGAUAAUAAAAUUACUUUUGUACGUUAUUUUCCAUU